rnacentral:rRNA from 1 species
UCCUAGCCGUAAACUAUGGGUACUAGGCAAUGGGAUAACUUAUGUAUUUCAUUGCCGCAGCUAAUGUGUUAAGUACCCCGCCUGGGGAGUACGCUCGCAAGGGUAAAACUCAAAGGAAUUGACGGGGGAUCACACAAGCAGUGGAGCAUGUUGUUUAAUUCGAAGCAACGCGAAGAACCUUACCAGGCCUUGACAUGCAUGGAUUAGCUUCCUGAAAGGGAAGUGACGCCUCUUCGGAGGUGGAACAUGUGCAGGUGUUGCAUGGCUGUCGUCAGCUCGUGCCGUGAGGUGUUGGGUUAAGUCCCGUAACGAGCGAAACCCUUAUUGUUAGUUGCCAGCGGGUUAUGCCGGGGACUCUAGCGAGACUGCCGUU